rnacentral:tRNA from 1 species
GGAGAGUUGGCAGAGUGGUCGAAUGCACCGGUCUUGAAAACCGGCAUAUCCGAGAGGGUAUCGAGGGUUCGAAUCCCUCACUCUCCGCCA